GCCCGCUUCGGCAGCACAUGUACGAAAACUGGGAUGAUACGGAGAAGAUUAGCGUGGCCCCUGCUCAAGGGUGACACACAGAUUCGUGAAGCGCUCCAUGUUCUU